GAUGAACGCUGGCGGCGUGCCUAAUACAUGCAAGUCGAGCGAACAGACGAGGAGCUUGCUCCUCUGACGUUAGCGGCGGACGGGUGAGUAACACGUGGAUAACCUACCUAUAAAACUGGGAUAACCUCGGGAAACCGGAGCUAAUACCGGAUAAUAUAUUGAACCGCAUGGUUCAAUAGUGAAAGACGGUUUUGCUGUCACUUAUAGAUGGAUCCGCGCCGCAUUAGCUAGUUGGUAAGGUAACGGCUUACCAAGGCGACGAUGCGUAGCCGACCUGAGAGGAUGAUCGGCCACACUGGAACUGAGACACGGUCCAGACUCCUACGGGAGGCAGCAGUAGGGAAUCUUCCGCGAUGGGCGAAAGCCUGACGGAGCAACGCCGCGUGAGUGAUGAAGGUCUUCGGAUCGUAAAACUCUGUUAUUAGGGAAGAACAAAUGUGUAAGUAACUAUGCACGUCUUGACGGUACCUAAUCAGAAAGCCACGGCUAACUACGUG
rnacentral:rRNA from 1 species